rnacentral:lncRNA from 1 species
UGGCCCAGCAGAUGAUGACACUGCUCCACAGCUCCACCCACUGUCCCCCAGCAGCUUCUGCUCCAGCACAGCCAGGUGGGAGAACAACACGCUCCAGAUACUCCCAAGAUCAAAUGACCAUCAGUCUUGGGCUGUGGGGGGAAAGCAGGUGGUACAGAAAAGGCUUUAUUUGGAAAGUUUAUUACAGUUUUUUGAAAAGGCUGGGCAGACGGCAAAGGUGAAGAUUUGUAAGUAAAAAGGAAGUGUUGCUGCAAACUAAAGCAAGACGCAUAUGUCUUUCUUCUGUUCAUGUUCUUAUAAGUCAAGAGAUGGGCACAACCUGGUGGCUUUCCCUAGAUGCUGAGUGAGAAGCUCUGGGCAAAUUUUCUAAAUUACACUGAAGGAGACUGUAAAGUGAAACCUAAGGAUGCUUGUUUCUCAUUGCCACAAAGUACACUCCCUUCAGGUCACAGAGCCAGAGGAGGCUCCGCAAGCUCAACAUGCCCCAAGCUCAAGGAUUCAUCUCUCUAUCGGCAAACCUGUUCCACUGCAUGAGCUUUCCUCUGUGGGGGUCUUAGGGAAUAACAGUGCCUUUCCCCAUUUUGUGGGUUGAAUUGAAAGCUAAGAGAGAGGCCUGAAACAGAUCCUUCCUUAGUGCCCUCUGAAGGUGCAUG